UAAGUAUGAAUCGCGAUGACAGAGGAUA
rnacentral:sRNA from 1 species